rnacentral:rRNA from 1 species
GACGAACGCUGGCGGCGUGCUUAACACAUGCAAGUCGAACGGAGAGGCCCUGCUUUUGUGGGGUGCUCGAGUGGCGAACGGGUGAGUAACACGUGAGUAACCUGCCCUUGACUUUGGGAUAACUUCAGGAAACUGGGGCUAAUACCGGAUAGGAGCUCCUGCUGCAUGGGGGGGGUUGGAAAGUUUCGGCGGUUGGGGGUGGACUCGCGGCUUAUCAGCUUGUUGGGGGGGGAGUGGCUUACCAAGGCUUUGACGGGUAGCCGGCCUGAGGGGGUGCCCGGCCAAAUGGGGAAUGGGAUACGGCCCAGACCCCUCCGGGGGGCAGCGGUGGGGAAUUUUCGACAAGGGGGGGGAGCCGGAGGCAGAAGCCCCGGGGGGGGGAUGCCGGCCUUGGGGUGGUAAACCGCUUUCGCCUGUGACGAAGCGUGGGGGCCGGGAAUGGGGAAAGAAGCACCGGCUAACUACGU